CGAACCAUCUAGUAGCUGGUUC
rnacentral:ncRNA from 3 species